UACGUAGGAGGCGAGCGUUGUCCGGAAUUACUGGGUGUAAAGCGUGCGUAGGUGGUGAGUUAAGUCUGUCGUGAAAGCCCCGGGCUCAACCUGGGAAUGGCGAUGGAUACUGGCUCGCUAGAGUGCGGUAGAGGAGAGUGGAAUUCCCGGUGUAGCAGUGAAAUGCGUAGAGAAUCGGGAGGAACACCGGUGGCGAAGGCGGCAUCCUGGACCAAUUCUGACGCUGAGGAGCGAAAGCCAGGGAGCAAACGGGG
rnacentral:rRNA from 1 species